GAGAGAGCCAUCUAUGCCACCAAAUUCACCUCCUCCUCUUCCUCCGCCGCCCAGGCCAUUCUCCGAGUCGUCGACCCUCCUCCGAUCAUUUCCAAGAAGCGUUCUUGCGCGAAGAAUCGGCCACUCUCCGAAAAAUUGGAACUUGAGCCUUGUCUGAAGCAAGAAGCUGUCACUGUACCUAUAUCCACUGCAAAGAAGCUCCUUUAAAGAUUCUGGAAAAUGGUGGCUUGCUUGGUUUGUCUUCGGAAGAAUAUAAUAAAGUGGUUAUUUUAGACGCAAGUGAACGGGAAUCUACUGUUCAUCACUGUGUUCGGAGCUUGUGGCGACUUUGCCAAGAAGACAAAACUUCCUGCCCUUUUCGCACUUUAUUAUGAAGACUGCCUUCCAGACGUCUGGUUUAUCAUUCAACUGAACUUGGUUAUGCACGAACGAAGAUUAUUAGCAAGACACUUUCGUGCAGAAUUGACAAAAGGGAGAAUUCUGGUGAGAAGAUGGAGCAGUUUCUGAAAAGAUGCUUCUAUCAUGCAGGUCAAUAUCUUGCGAAGCCUGACAAGAAGCUGAAAGAAGACGGGCUAGUUCUUGUAUCUAUAAGAUGAGGAUAUCCUCAAUUUUAGAAGUUUGACUCUGAUGAAGAAAUAAUAAUAAAAUUGGAACUGAUCUUGAUUGAGCAACUAAUGAGCCUGUCAUCAGGGUGCAGCCUCACAACAAGCUCAUUCACAUGAAGGUCAAUAACAAGAUUCCUUGAUUGGGAAUGAGAUUAGACCAAAGUCUCAUUUAUAUCUUCUUUAUGCAUCAAGAUACUCCAAGGAGAUACCAGAUGUGCAUGAGUGGCUGCUUCUUGAUGCCAUGGAGGUAGAAUGAAGGCUGUUCAUUUUUCUGGUGAACUGGAUGCUGCUUGAGAGCUGUUCAUUCCACUGCUCAGGAAUUUUGAGGAGAAUAUAGCCUCAGGGCUCUACCUUUACAGGAACAAUGCACCAAUAAGAGCCCAUUAUCUUGCAGCCAAAUACAAUGUCAGUUGUAGUGACCUCAGUGCAUCAGAGUAAUGUUUUUGCUGCCACUUUAGCAGGAGACACACCAAUAAAUUAAUUCAAGAGAACCACAGAUAAGCAAUAACAUUUGGGCACUGUGUUGUUCCUCUUUAAUUUUGCUGCAUAAAUGCACUGCCAUAUAGGCUUGUAGGAAUCUUAAUUUUGGUAAUCAGCAUGACAUAUAGUUGGGUUUCUUCUUUGUACAGCACAGUACUGGCAACAGAUUUCAUGGUGGACUUCUAUCAGCUCCAAGGUGUUCAACAAGUCCCGACUAUUUGAAGUGCGCAACAUAGAUCAUCAUAGUUGUUGAUCCAUAUGCAUAUGAUCUGACAAAGUUUAUACCGAUUGUGACUGUUGAAUUUGGUUACUGCUUGUGACAAUGAUACUCUGGUCAACAGAUUCUACUUGGCAAUGCCCUGUGGAAAGGGUGGAGGACUGCGCAAAGAUGACUGCGUUGAGGACAAGCCGCGGCACAGCACCGAGACACUGUGGUGGUUCAAUGCAACUUGUAUGAUGCCAUUCUUUGUGCAGGAUGUGGUGGGUUGGAAUCUGUGGUGGUGCUGCAGCAGUGUGCCAGGCAUCAAGCAAUACUAGGAGAAGUUGCGAUGGUUGCAACAUUCUACACACUCGAGCCCCGGAAGCCUAUCAUCCAUGGUGUCAUAUAUCCUUCCCUUGGCUGAGGUUUUCAUGACAAAUGGUGGAGCAAAGAUAAAGAAUCAUGUAUCGAGUACCUUUUCCCUUUAAUUCGGAUGACACCCACGAAGACAUCCAUGUUCAUCCAAGCUCUAAAUCUUCUCCCACAAAGACAAAGGAGAAGCCCGGGAAGCGUAAUCAAUGAUUUCCCUUGUCAAGUGAGGUGAGUCUGAAUCAUCAGUUUUUAAAUUCAUUCUAUGCUGUCUUUUCCUUUAUCUUCUUGAUUCUACAUUCACAGCAAUUUAUGUUUCAUGACAAAUGUUGGAGCAAAUAUGAACUGUGAUGAAGAAGUUCACAAUGGUUUAUUAGAAAGGCCUCUACAGCUGCACUGGCACAUCAGGAUGUCUUAGAAAUCAGGCUUUUCACUAGGCAGCUAAUGAAAUAAUAGCAACUAAAAGUAUUUCCAAGGCUUGAAAGCAAAUGCAAGCAAGAGGAAUAAUUUUUGGGAAAGGAGGCAUUUCAAGAAGACAAACAUGUAUCAUAUUUGUUUGUUCCAAUCCAUUUAUAAUUAGGUGAUUCACCAGACAAUCAUGUCAGAAAUCCAACAACCAACCAAACAGUUGAAAGACAAAGAUCAGGCAACCUUAUUUGUCCAUCUCUUUUGCAAAAUCAAAGAAAAUGACAAUCAAAAGUCAAUGGUGUGCCCGAAAAAAAAAAAAAGGUUAUGAUCUCCUCAAAGUCUUAUCAUCUACUUAAAUUAGAGUUGCAAGCUGAGGUCAUGAAGCCUCCCAAGUAGAUUCAUGUAAUCCUAUCUUUAAGUGUGUCUGCUGACCAUUCUCCAUUCAUUCCUUCUUUUAAAUAUGUCUGCUGACCAUUCUCCCUUUACUCUCAAUGCUUUUCUUUCAAAUGAUAUCCAGGUGAAUUGUAUUGCUUCUGAGAACCAUGAGGGGUUGAUGUAGUCCUUCAGGAGGCCAUAUGGUGGUGUAUAAGUGUAUCGAGUCCCCACACAUCAGAUUUGUGAGAGAUGAUAUCACCCUUCAUAACAGGUUCCCAUGACAGUGAGUAUACAUGUAUUGAUGUUAGGCAAGGUUGACCAUAGAUCAUCCCUGACAGUUUUCAUGGGUGAUUGUAGCUGGGUAUUGAUGUCAUUCAGAAUAUUAUGUUUUGCAAUUUAUUUAUAGUGUUUAUCCAGUGGAAUUUUGA